GGGGGUAUAGCUCAAAUGGUCAGAGCAGUCGCCUGUCGAGCGAAAGGUUUGCGAGUUCGAGUCUCGUUACUCCCG
rnacentral:tRNA from 3 species